rnacentral:rRNA from 1 species
GAUGAACGCUGGCGGCGUGCCUAAUACAUGCAAGUCGAGCGAACAGACGAGGAGCUUGCUCCUCUGACGUUAGCGGCGGACGGGUGAGUAACACGUGGAUAACCUACCUAUAAGACUGGGAUAACUUCGGGAAACCGGAGCUAAUACCGGAUAAUAUAUUGAACCGCAUGGUUCAAUAGUGAAAGACGGUUUUGCUGUCACUUAUAGAUGGAUCCGCGCCGCAUUAGCUAGUUGGUAAGGUAACGGCUUACCAAGGCGACGAUGCGUAGCCGACCUGAGAGGGUGAUCGGCCACACUGGAACUGAGACACGGUCCAGACUCCUACGGGAGGCAGCAGUAGGGAAUCUGCCGCAGUGGGCGAAAGCCUGACGGAGCAACGCCGCGUGAGUGAUGAAGGUCUUCGGAGCGUAAAACUCUGUUAUUAGGGAAGAACAAAUGUGUAAGUAACUAUGCACGUCUUGACGGUACCUAAUCAGAAAGCCACGGCUAACUACGU